rnacentral:rRNA from 1 species
CCCUUAGAUGUUCUGGGCCGCACGCGUGCUACACUGAGUGGAUCAGCGGGUCAGGUUGCGCGAAAGUGUUUCCUAAUCUUGAAAUCCGCUCGUGAUGGGGAUUGACGGUUGCAAUUUUCUGUCAUGAACGAGGAAUACCUUGUAAGCGCGGGUCGUCAUCCCGCGCUGAAUACGUCCCUGCCCUUUGUACACACCGCCCGUCGCUCCUACCGAUUGAGUGGUCCGGUGAGGCUUUGGGAUCUGGAUGGAAAGAGCGUUUCGCUGUUUCUGCCCGGAAAACUCAGUCGAACCUUAUCAUUUAGAGGAAGGAGAAGUCGUAACA